rnacentral:rRNA from 1 species
GACGAACGCUGGCGGCGUGCUUAAUACAUGCAAGUCGAACGCAGGGGGGACGGGUGAGUAACACGCGGGUAAUCUCCCAUCAGAGGGGAUAACACUUGGAAACAGGUGCUAAACCGAUACCGAUGGAUGAAGCCGCGGUGCAUUAGCUAGUUGGUGAGUGAACGGCCCACCAAGGCCAGAAUGCAUGGCCGGCCUAAGAGAUGGAUCGGCCCAACUGGAACUGGGACACGGCCCAGACUCCGACGGAAGGAAGAGGUGGGGAAUCUUCGGCAAUGGACGAAAGUCUGACCGAGCAACGCCGCGUGAGUGAAAGGGGUUUUCGGAUCGAAAAACUCUGUUGUUAGGGAAGCGGUAUCUAACCAGAAAGCCACGGCUAACUACGUGCCAGCAGCCGCGGUAAUAC